UACAGAGGUGGCAAGCGUUGUUCGGAAUUACUGGGCGUAAAGGGCGCGUAGGCGGUCUUGUAAGUCUUGUGUGAAAUCCCUCGGCUCAACUGAGGAACUGCACGGGAUACUGCGAGACUUGAGUUCGGGAGAGGGAAGCGGAAUUCCGGGUGUAGCGGUGAAAUGCGUAGAUAUCUGGAGGAACAUCGGUGGCGAAGGCGGCAUCCUGGACCGGUAUUGACGCUGAGGCGCGAAAGCCAGGGGAGCAAACGGG
rnacentral:rRNA from 1 species